CAGUAAAUGGCCCCGUAAGUGGCUUAAAAAAACUUUGGGCCCUAAACAAAAUCUGGGUCGGACCUUAAAACUCUCCCACUUUAUUUUCUCUAUUAAAGGUAAACCCUUUUCCCUUGUUCCUCGCUUGCACAUAAAAGUUCAUCAAAGUAGGGCUGUUUUCACUUGUUCAUCUUCUAUUUGAAGAUUUCUCGAAUCCAGGGAACAAAAUUGGACAAAAAUUGAAAAUAUACGCUACGUGGGAUCCAAUUCUUUGGGAAAAACUGACUCACACUCAGAAGGGCACUUAUGAAUCCACUUACGGACCUUGUAGGAUGGCACAAAAAGUUGUGCAAAAGAAGGGAGUUCAGUCCAUGCUAGAGAUGAGUUUCCUGAAUGGAGUGUUUCUAUUAAGGAGUAUCCCAUGAGCCUGGAUAUUACACCAGUGGCCCCAUGGAAAAUACAAGGCCGAUCACAGAGACAGACUGCAUCUAUAGCAGUUGUGGUUAAUUAAGGUACUCAGCCCACAUUGUCACAGGCACUACAGACAGAGCCCUAACUUACACUAGCACACUUCAUUCGGACUGAGAUUUGGAUGAGGAAUCUGAGUUAGUCACCAUUAUACACUCCCAGUUUGAGAAAGGAUUGGAUGAGUCAAAUGUUGGUUUAGAGGAGGAGGUUUAGUUAGGAUCAGGUACCGAGUUUGGAAAGGAGGAGGAUGCAGUCGACUCCCAAUCUAAAGAGAGGUCAGAGACUGUAUCUGAUUUUGACAGUGAGUCUGUAUCAAGCUCAGGGUGUUCAUGCAUCAUAGGUCCUAUAGGAUAUAUCAUCUUUAUCAGCUCAGGUCAUCGAGGCUACUACUCAGGGCACUCAUCCUACUACUUUCUCACCUGUUGUACUGAAGUCUAACUACACAUAUGUCUUGGUCAUACCUAUAGUUGAGAUUCCUUUAAGAUGGUGCAUAUAGGGAAUGCAAUAGCUUUAUGAAAGAGAUAGCUUCAUCAAAGAGCAGGGUUGCUCGAGACGCAGUAUAAUAGGAAAGGUCAGGAUAAAGUUGACUAGGGUAGCAGGAGCUCCAGACAUGUAGGCUUCUUUUAAAAGAUAGUGACUGGGUGUAUGACCAAGCCUUUAGGUUCAUAUAUCUUGCCUCUUGUUCGAGAGUUUUAUAUAUCCACGAUAUGCAGAGUUACCACGGCUGAGGGUAGAGCGGUUAAGCAGAACCAGCUGACCCACACUUUGGUCAUGGGGUUAAAGUUGACAAUUUUUAGAAGACUGACCACCGAGUGUUAUUUUGUCCAAAUUAUUUGGGAUCGGCCAUGACAACUGAGCUCGAUUAUCGCAUAUGUAUUGCGGGGAGUACGCACACUAUGAAGACCCAGAGCACAGAGCACUUCAACUGGAUUUGGCUAGAUUUAUAGCCAUACAGAUAGUUGAGUUGGGCGUUGAUGCCUCAUGGGUUGAGAAAAAGGAAGAGAUCAAGAAGGUCUCACUGUACUUUAUAGUAAAGCGUUGGUUAGUAGUGGUACGACAUAGAUUGAGUUCAACUUCUACGAAUAAUAUACUCACAUGGGACAGAACUGCUUUGGUUGCCAGCCUGAUUGUUGGAUAUGAUAUAGAUUUUGCAAGAUGGAUCCGAACGUAGAUCCACAAGAAGGCAUUUGGUGAAACCGCCAUCUUCACCUUUCCUUGUUUAAUUCAACAGUUAAGAGAUGCAGCUAGAGUACUGACUAUUUAAGAGAUAUAUCAGUGGAUUAAAGUGACCCACAUGGCAGACAUUAUCUUGAUUAAGGAUAUGGUGAAUCUGAUCCUUGCAAAUAAAGUGUAGCCACCUUCUACUUCUAGUAUGACCCAUUUUGAGAGGCCCACUAUUAGGGUCGAGCCUAUUAAGAGGCUUGGUAUGAUUAUUGAUAUUUAGAUGGAUGGUCAAAGAGCUGAACCCAUUACUACUAUAGGUGAGGGGGACACAGGCACAUCUAUACCAGCCUCGAUGUCUACUCCAGCACCAGUCAUGGCUACUACUUUGCCCCCUCUCCUGAUAUCUACUAGGAUUGUGGAAGUGUUGUGUGAGUUCUUACAAUAGAUGGUUAAGCGACAGCAUGAGGUGACUGAGCACCUCACCCAGAUAGAGACUCAGUUAUCCACAUUAUUCAGGUAAAUUCAGUCAUGGCCCGGACUACUUUAGAGACUUUUAAGGCCAAAUUUAACAAGAGGAGGAUGGAAACUAUGGAGGUGUAUACUAGAGAUUUGCAUGCACGUAUAGAUAGCUUUGAGACUCAAAUAAGUGCAUAACUUUGUGAGGUCCAUACACCGAACUUGUCGAGCCUACAUGAGAAGACUGUAACUCUAAGUUUAAAGGUUUGAUCAUUAUCUGAGAUCCAUAUUCUGGUAGUCUCUCGAGUUGUUCCAGCUUUUAUACAGCCUCUACCCCAAACUCCUACUAUGGUGUUUGAUCUUUUUGUGAAUGAUGAUGUGGCCCCAGUUUUUGGGGCCAAGAGAGGUCGUAAGAAGGAGCUACAGGAUUCGACUAUGGAUUAUCAACAGGCUCUAACAAGAGCAGCUCAGGAUUCAAUUAUGUCAGCUUUGACUGAUAAGCAGAAACGUGUUGAGAUGGCAGCCGACACUUUCUCCUAUUGCGUACCACCACCUCCUCCUCUAAUUGAGCCAUGAGAUGCCUCAAAUAGGGACGAUUCAGAUUCAAACACCUAAAGUGUCCCAUGAAAACAGGGCUAGGAGCAAAAGAAGAGAAAAUGAGUUGAAGUGAUGCAGAGGCACACACUUAUGAACCAACUUACAGGCCAUAAGUGGGACUUAGGUCCAUUGUAGGUCCUUCUAUAAGUGACAGAAGAAAAGUUUUAAAAGUUGGGUGUUGGAUCUGAUACCUAUGAAGGCCAUUUACGGGGCGUAAAUGGCAUCUACGACCCUCGUAGGUACCCCCAUAUGUGGAUGAUAUGAAAGCUGGAGUUUCCUAUGACACCUAUGAACCCACCUAGGGUCCAAGGUAAAAUUACCUACAACCUGUAAGUAGAACCGUAGGUAGGUGCUGACUUAGUUUUCUUAUUUCAUUUUUGUUAGGAUUUUUUAGGUUUCUUAUAUAUCCUAUAAAUACCUCAUUGAUGUUUUGUUAUUAAUUUACGCAAUUUUUAUACUUACAACAUUAUAUUGAUUCUGGGAUAUACUUUUGAUCUUAGAAUCCUUGUUCUUGAGUUUUACGAUUGGAUAUUAAUUUGAGAUUUUGAUUUUCAUUCUUAA